rnacentral:lncRNA from 1 species
GAUCCGAAAUAAGUAUACCUUUAAUUUAAUAAUAUUUAUUUCUCUUUUAAUUCACACCGAUUACUUGCAUGACGUAAUCAUAAUAAUAAGUGGUCACCGCGAGAAAACUUUUUAAAUUCAAUUUUCAAACAAAUUCCAUAACGAAAGUCAUAUUUCUGAUCAUCCACCGACUAACUGUCACUAUCUAAAAAAAUCAUUUUAAAAUUUACUUGUGCAUACAAUCUGGUUUCACACAAUAAUUUUGGUUUUGGAAUGUGAAAAAGUCACAAAAAGUCCUGACUUUUUGGCCAGAUUUUGCGAGGUAGCGUAUAUUGUUAGGACGCUCUCGUUUUGAUAUGCCGUUAAUUUGAGACCAAUUCAAUUUGAGACCGUCUAGUUUGAGGCCUGUACGAAUAAAGUCAACCAUAUUUUGAUUGUUUUACAAUUGUUUAUCCUGUUGCUGAAUUUCCACUACAUACCCAUUUGGAAAACUAAAGUAAUAAAUUUUAUUAAUAUUUCUCAUCGAUUCGGAAUGUGACGACAGAAUCCAGCUUAUUUCCUGUUUUUUUUUUUUU